CCCGGCACAAGCGGAGGAGCAUGUGGUUUAAUUCGAUGAUACGCGAGGAACCGUUACCUGGGCUUAAAUGCUUAAUGACGUACUGGGAAACUGGUAUUUCUUCGGACAUUUUGCAAGGUGCUGCAUGGUUGUCGUCAGCUCGUGCCGUGAGGUGUCGGGUUAAGUCCCAUAACGAGCGCAACCCCUAUUGUUAGUUGCCAUCAGGUCAUGCUGGGGACUCUAACAAAACUGCCCGCGUAAGCGUGGAGGAAGGUGGGGAUGACGUCAAAUCAGCACGGCCCUUACGUCCAGGGCUACACACGUGCUACAAUGGCCGGUACAGAGGGCAGCCACUUGGUGACAAGGAGCAAAUCUCAAAAGCCGGUCUCAGUUCGGAUCGGAGUCUGCAACUCGACUCCGUGAAGUUGGAUUCGCUAGUAAUCGUAGAUCAGCAAUGCUACGGUGAAUACGUUCCCGGGCCUU
rnacentral:rRNA from 1 species